ACUAAAUAUAUGUAUUAUGUGCAUGUGUAAGCAGAUCGCACAUUCUGCUUUCGAUGCAAUGAUGGUAUUAUGGUUAAAUGAUACCGUCUAGCACGUUUACACACCUGCAAACACAGAAGCUAAACAGUUUUCACUCUAUUUGUAUGUCAUGCAGAAUGAAUAGACACAGACAGAGUCAGGUUUCAUCAGUAUACAGCAAGAUGCAGUCGACUGUCCAGAUUUUGACUCUCCUGAAUGUUGUAUUGGUUGUAUUCUUGAUGAUCAUGAUCCUUUCUCAGGUAAGAGAAGAAGAUUUACCUUGUGUUAUUCGCAGCAGUUUAUAGUAGUAAUAUUAAAACAUUACAGUGCUGGUCAUCUUGAGAUGGUUUGCUUUGAUUUUCGGUGUCUGUAUAGAGAAGAAGCUCUGGCAGCUCUGGUAAGGAGAUGCUGUUUGGAGAGUUUUGUUUUCAGCCUUGAUCUGACAUAAAGUGGACCUCAACUCUACAUACAGUCAACGGCACCACAAAUAAAACAAACAGCAUUAAUCUUAUCUAAAGGUAAGCACGUCUCUGCUGCAGAUGUCCUGUCAGCUGUUUUCAUAAAAAUCAUGCAUACCUGUGCAUCGCUCUAUUACGUGUGUACAUGAUGUCGAGCUGAGGCUAAUUUGUACCCACCCCAAAGUGAAAAUCUUUAUAUAUACACUUCAUACAGCAUACUUCAUUCUAAACAUUACGUGUUGAUGCACAAUUGAUAUAAUGUGCAAUUAAACCAACAUAAUUAUUGCUAUAAUUUUGCUUUCUAUCAUUUAGCGUCAUGAUAUCAGCCGCACAGUUGAGCAUUGUUUUGUUCUUAUACCACAGCCAGUGGCUGUGUCCCAAUUCAGGCGCAGCAUCCUUGGGAGUGCGCAUUUGAGGUGCAAUUACGUCACUACGCUGCGCGAAGCCUGUCCCAAUUCAAAGUGUCCUCCAAAUGCUCCCCACAAAUGCUGCCUUCUGUUCCCUCUUCCUGGAGGACACACCGCUACUAUCCUUCACGGCUAUAAAUUGCCCCAGAUUCAUUGCGGCCGAAAGAGAAGAAAGACAGAAAGAAAGAAUGGCGACCUCAAGUGGCGCAGAUCUCGUAUUUAAAUAUAAGUAUUGGGUUUAUACUCAGUUUUUACUCAUUUGAGUGACAAACGCCAGAUAUGUCAAACUUCAAGGGACGUUAAAACCUCAAAAUAUCGGCUAAAAUACGUUGGUAAUGCUCUUUUUUGAUGCCUUUUACUUUCAAACAUCAGAUGUUCAGAGGUUGACUUAUAUCUUAUUGUGACUGCUGAGAUGUUAUCGACUCAUUUUAUUUCAUAUACAUAAAUGGACCAUGAUGAACAGAUUCAGAUCAGACUGUAACACUGUAAAGUCUAGUUAAAUGUUUGAAUAAAGAGUCAAGUUUAUGAUUAUCCUUAUGAUGAUUAUAUAUUUUUUUCUGUAUUAGAACUCUUUUGUCUGUUGACGUAACACAAACAUCUUUUACAUUUCAUUGUGUUUUAGGGAGCAAUAGAGAGCUUCAUUACUGUCCGAGGUCAGAACGAAGAUUUAUUCACAGGGUGAAACAUUCCACCGCGGCUGGGUGGAAGAGGAGGGAGGAUAAAGGAGGACAUGAGGCUGCAGAGAGGAUGGAGAGGCUCCUGCUCCAGAGGACAACCCUUAUAUUAUUUCUGUUAUUUAGUUAAUGUAUGAGUUCUUUUUAAAUUAUUUGUUCAUAAUUGUACAUUUUAUAUAAUUCAUGAAAUAAAACAUUGUUCUACUGUUA